AGAGUUUGAUCCUGGCUCAGGAUGAACGCUGACAGAAUGCUUAACACAUGCAAGUCGACUCGAGUCUUCGGACUUGGGUGGCGCACGGGUGAGUAACGCGUAAAGAACUUGCCUCUUAGACCGGGACAACAUCUGGAAACGGAUGCUAAUACCGGAUAUUAUGGUUUUUUCGCAUGGAGGAAUCAUGAAAGCUAGAUGCGCUAAGAGAGAGCUUUGCGUCCCAUUAGCUGGUUGGUGAGGUAACGGCCCACCAAGGCAAUGAUGGGUAGCCGGCCUGAGAGGGUGAACGGCCACAAGGGGACUGAGACACGGCCCUUACUCCUACGGGAGGCAGCAGUGGGGAAUAUUGGACAAUGGACCACAAGUCUGAUCCAGCAAUUCUGUGUGCACGAUGACGUUUUUCGGAAUGUAAAGUGCUUUCAGUCGGGAAGAAGUCAGUGACGGUACCGACAGAAGAAGCGACGGCUAAAUACGUGCCAGCAGCCGCGGUAAUACGUAUGUCGCAAGCGUUAUCCGGAUUUAUUGGGCGUAAAGCGCGUCUAGGCGGCAAGGAAAGUCUGAUGUGAAAAUGCGGAGCUCAACUCCGUAUGGCGUUGGAAACUGCCUUACUAGAGUACUGGAGAGGUAGGCGGAACUACAAGUGUAGAGGUGAAAUUCGUAGAUAUUUGUAGGAAUGCCGAUGGGGAAGCCAGCCUACUGGACAGAUACUGACGCUAAAGCGCGAAAGCGUGGGUAGCAAACAGGAUUAGAUACCCUGGUAGUCCACGCUGUAAACGAUGAUUACUAGGUGUUGGGGGUCAAACCUCAGCGCCCAAGCUAACGCGAUAAGUAAUCCGCCUGGGGAGUACGUACGCAAGUAUGAAACUCAAAGGAAUUGACGG
rnacentral:rRNA from 1 species